rnacentral:rRNA from 1 species
GACGAACGCUGGCGGCGUGCUUAACACAUGCAAGUCGAGCGAUGAAGCACCUUCGGGUGUGAAUUAGCGGCGAACGGGUGAGGAACACGUGAGAAAUCUGCCUUCAACUCUGGGAUAACUCCGGGAAACCGGGGCUAAUACCGGAUAUGAGCCUUGAUCGCAUGAUCGGGGCUGGAAAGUUUUUCGGUUGAAGAUGAUCUCGCGGCCUAUCAGCUUGUUGGUGAGGUAAUGGCUCACCAAGGCGACGACGGGUAGCCGGCCUGAGAGGGCGAACGGCCACACUGGGACUGAGACACGGCCCAGACUCCUACGGGAGGCAGCAGUGGGGAAUAUUGGGCAAUGGAGGAAACUCUGACCCAGCGACGCCGCGUGAGGGAUGAAGGCCUUCGGGUUGUAAACCUCCUUCAGUAGGGAAGAAGCGAAAGUGACGGUACCUACAGAAGAAGCACCGGCUAACUAUGUGCCAGCCGCCGCCGUAA